GGUGGCACAAUACGUGUAUCUCACACUAUUUAGGAGCGUGAGAGCUUGUUUUUCUCUCUCUCGUUUUCCUCUUACUCCAUCCCCACACCUGUUGCACCAGUCCACCACCACCACCUUUCUCCUCCCUCCCCCACCACUGUUUUCAACAUCCCCCUUUCUUCUUUAUUUUUUAUUUUCAGUAAAAUAUUAUAGCAGUUCUUAACCCAUUUGAUCUCCCAAGGUUUGCCUCCAGGAUCAACAAAUUGUGAUUCUACAUCUCUGCAAGUCCAUUAGUUCCUUUUACUUAUUGUCUUAUCAAAAGAAGGAAAUAGCGUGUGAAUUUAGUUGAAAUUAUCAACUGUCCAUGAAUGUCAUUAUUUGUUAAUGGCUUCUCAUAGCCUUGGAUUUGAAGGACCACCAAUGGAGGUCUCAAGUUUUAAUCACCAAGCUUCUAAAUUUGCCUCUAGCUCGAAUUCAACUUAUCAAGCAAUUAAAAACACUUCCCGUAACAAAUUCAAACUAGAAAGCAAUUUUUCAUUCACGAUUUUUACUCUUCAAAGACCCCCAAAAGUAAACUUCGAAUAUUGCACUACACAAUUCUUCAAAUCAAUAAAUGGCGAGUUGUGGAAGAACUUUAAGGAGGGUAGUUUUGAUGGGAUCAAUAUCCUUCAUUCUUAGAAAAAACUAUUGUAGAAGACAAGUAAACCGGGAGGAUGAUGACAGGUGGGUUUUUUUCAUUUCUUUUUUCCUUUUCCUUUUCCAAAUUUUGGCAUUUUUCUUUUGGUUGACAUGUUUGUUUUUCAUUGGUGUCUUUUUGUCACAUCAUGAAAACUGAAAUUCACGCACCACAUAUAAUGUAGGAUAAUCAAAUUUGUGUUCAAUAGGUA